UGGGGAAUAUUGCAACAUGGGCGCAAGCCUGAUGCAGCCAUGCCGCGUGUGUGAAGAAGGCCUUCGGGUUGUAAAGCACUUUCAGCGAGGAGGAAGGUGGUGAGCUUAAUACGCUCAUCAAUUGACGUUACUCGCAGAAGAAGCACCGGCUAACUCCGUGCCAGCAGCCGCGGUAAUACGGAGGGUGCAAGCGUUAAUCGGAAUUACUGGGCGUAAAGCGCACGCAGGCGGUUUGUUAAGUCAGAUGUGAAAUCCCCGGGCUCAACCUGGGAACUGCAUUUGAAACUGGCAAGCUAGAGUCUCGUAGAGGGGGGUAGAAUUCCAGGUGUAGCGGUGAAAUGCGUAGAGAUCUGGAGGAAUACCGGUGGCGAAGGCGGCCCCCCUGGACGAAGACUGACGCUCAGGUGCGAAAAGGCGUGGGGCAGCAAACAGGAUUAGAUACCCUGGUAGUCCACGCUGUAAAACGAUGUCGAUUUUGGAGGUUGUGCCCCUUGAGGCGUGGCUUCCGGAGCUAACGCGUUAAAUCGACCG
rnacentral:rRNA from 1 species